UUUUUNUUUUUUUUUUUUUUUUUAAAGGGUGCAUCCAGCAAAAGCAAAGCUCCAGCAUAUGGGAGGGAGAGGGGCCUUGGGGCUUCUCCAAGGAAGGCCUUACUUCCAAGAGAAUGCCCUGCCCCCAUCAUCACGCUGGACCUUUCCACACACCAGCUGAGUGGCUUAGUGGCAGCUCCAACACCAGCAGCAGCUCCCCAUGCCACCCCACCUCCACUCCCCUGAAAGCUGUUUUCUGAGCAUCAGGCCUGAGUGUCAUCUCAUCUCCUUUAGAAGCCCAGGCCCAGGCCCAGGCCGCAUGCUCUCUUUCACUUUAAUUCGGAAGCUCUGAUGCCCUUGAAGAGAAUCCUACUCCUCUCCCUCCCCCAGCUCUUCCUGGAAGCAGCCUGGCAAAGCUGACAGGAAGACAUGGCUGCUGCCCCCACAAGAGCCAGGACCCGGAGAGGGAAGACGGCCCUGAGCCACCCAGGGGCAGGGGCAGGCAGCUUAGGAAGAUGGGGCCCUCCAGAGGCAAGAAGACUGGGCUGCAGGGUGUAGGUCGGAUCAAUCCCUGGAUUCAGUCCCAGGAAUUUCCAUAUGCCUUGGGUGUGGCCAGGACACAAAAGAACAAACAAAACACAUCCUACCAAGUAGAGAAAGCAUGUGUGCAGGCUCUUGCAAGGGGCGGAAAGUGGAAAACACAGACUUUCUUUUUUCUUUUUUUGAGCCUUGCAUGUGACAGGCACCUGUGCCACAGCAGUGUCAACAACAGGUCCUUAACCAGCUGAGCCACUUGGGAACUCUGAUACUGUCUUUCUGGGGGGCGUGGUUUGUGGGGUACGCCCAGGAACCAGCAAAUACCACCUCUUCCAUCUGGAAAGGUGGGGCCAAACCUCUCCGAAGAAAAUGAGGGUGUUGCUGAGACUUACUCUGAAGCCUGCUAUCUGAGAAAUAACAUCGGUCUUUGUUACUCCGGGCCGAGGGCUGAAGCUGCCCAGACAAACGCAGCCAUGGAGUGGAACAGACCCUGUACCGAGGAGGAUAACUACCAAGCCAGGUUGUGGUCAGGCGGCCUUUGGGCUCCGGCCAAGAAGGGAAGGGUGUGAAAGUCUCCUGGGGGCAUGGGGAUGGCCCCUCCCACACCACCGCCUGGAACACCGGUGCCUGCCCCCCAGCGCCCCCCACCCACAGUGGCCUGAUCUCUGUCUCAGGCUUUGGGAGUCAAAUCAGGGCUGCCCAGACCGCCUGCUUUUGGGAGAAGCUGAGAAAAACAGGUUGGGACAGACUGAUUCUGAAACUGCCUACUCAUCCCCCUCAAACACCCAGGCCUGGGAUGAGAGCUCCUGUGGCUGCCUCCCCCUGGAGGGCAAAGUGUGAAAACAGGCUGGGGUCGGGGGGUGGCGUCUCAGGGCUGAGGAGGGGCGGGCUGUGUUUUCCUGGGUGUCCCCCUGGGGUUCCUCCCAGGCCCAGCUCCUGGGGGCCUUCGGACAGAGCAGGUAGAGCCCAGAGGACACAGCAGGGCAGGCUCCUCCACUCACAUCCCUUCACUGCUGACACUUCUGGUCCCCAAAUGUGAGGGUUCCCCACCCACCAACACCAAGCAGUUCAUCCACACGAGCUGGGAGUCCUGCAACUUAACUAAUUCUGACACUAUCCCCUUGGAGACAGUGUCAGAGCCCUCAGGUUAACGGCAUCACCACUUUCAAGAGAAAAGCUGCACAGUGUAUUAUCUUCAGAAAACACAUUUAAAAUUAGACUAAUAGACAAGUUAAAGGAUAUAAGGAAGAUACUGGAACAAGAACACAAAAACAUCAUGGAGUUCCCAUCGUGGCGCAGUGGUUAACGAAUCCAACUAGGAACCAUGAGGCUGUGGGUUCGAUCCCUGGCCUUGCUUAGUGAGUUGCCAUGAGCUGUGGUGUAGGUGGCAGACACAGCUCGGAUUCCAUGUUGCUGUGGCUGUGGCGUAGGCCGCAGCUCCAGUUAGACCCCUAGCCUAGGAACCUCGAUAUGCUUCUGGAGCAGCCCUAGGAAAGACCAAAAAAAAAGAACACAAAAACAUCAAAAGGAACCAGUGCAUAAUAGUUGAAUACAUAAUAGUUAAGAACAAUAUUCAACAAUAUUCAGAUAUCCUCUCUUUUAAAAAAAAAAAAAUUAUUUAUUUAUUUGGCCCCUCCCACAGCACACGAAGUUCCCUGGCCAGGGAGCAAAGCCACGCCACAGCCGGGACAACACUGGAUCCUUAACCAGGCCAUCAGGUAACUCCCUCAGGUAGUCUCAGGAAUGGAAGAACUAGAUAGCUGGAGCAUAAAUUAGUGAACUGAAGUAACAGAAAUUCCCCAAAAGGAAAAAAGAAAGAACAAAGGAAGAAAAAAUAUAGCAGAGGUUAUAUAUCUUCGCUGAGAGAUAUAGGGCAUAAGAGUAGAAGUGAUAAUAUUCAGAAAACAGGAGUCCUGGAAGGAGACACAAAUGGAGAUGAGGAAAUAUCCCAAGACAUAAUGGAGAAAAAUUUCUUGGAAUUAGAAAAAAAAAAA
rnacentral:lncRNA from 1 species